rnacentral:rRNA from 1 species
UACGUAGGGUGCAAGCGUUGUCCGGAAUUAUUGGGCGUAAAGAGCUCGUAGGCGGUCUGUCGCGUCGGCUGUGAAAACCCGAGGCCCAACCUCGGGCCUGCAGUCGAUACGGGCAAACUAGAGUACUGCAGGGGAGACUGGAAUUCCUGGUGUAGCGGUGAAAUGCGCAGAUAUCAGGAGGAAUACCGAUGGCGAAGGCAGGUCUCUGGGCUGACACUGACGCUCAUGCACGAAAGCGUGGGGAGCAAACAGG